rnacentral:rRNA from 1 species
GACGAACCACACAACCGUUAUUCGGAAUUACUGGGCUUAAAGGGUGCGUAGGCGGCGCGGUAAGUCGGGUGUGAAAUCUCGGAGCUUAACUCCGAAACUGCAUUCGAUACUGCCGUGCUUGAGGACUGGAGAGGAGACUGGAAUUUACGGUGUAGCGGUGAAAUGCGUAGAUAUCGUAAGGAAGACCAGUGGCGAAGGCGGGUCUCUGGACAGUUCCUGACGCUGAGGCACGAAGGUCAGGGGAGCAAACGGG